rnacentral:misc_RNA from 1 species
AAUGCCUUCACCAAGAAUAACUGAGGAAGACUCGGAGAAAAAGAAGAAGAUGAUGAUGAAGAAGGAGAAAAUUCGGGCUGGUCAUAUGAGUUCGGGCUCUGUUUCGGGCUCUUUGCCUCCUCAUUUGUGUGAUCCAUCUCAUAGCCCGGUUUCUGAGAGGAUGGAUCGAUCUGGAACAGGAAGCUAUCAAAAGAGAUCAUCAACAACUUCUCGUAGACCAAGGACUACAGACCAUAAUGUUGGGAUGUUAGAUUCUUUAAGCAGCGCCAGUUUUAUGGAGCUUGAGACCAGAUCUCGGGCCCAGACUCCACGGGGAUCAGUGGCUGGUUUUGGCAGUCGUCUGAAGGAUGUUAGUAACGCUUUGACAACAUCGAAAGAGCUUCUGAAAAUAAUCAACCGAAUUUGGGCACAUGCUGAUCAACCUUCAUCUAGCACGUCACUUGUCUCUGCGUUACACACUGAGCUGGAAAGGGCCCGCCUGCAGGUGAACCAGCUUAUCCAAGACCAGCGCUCGGAUCAAAAUGAGAUUAAUUAUCUCCUUAAAUGUUUUGCUGAAGAGAAAGCAGCUUGGAAGAAUAAAGAGCAACAGGCAGUUGAGGCUGCAAUU